rnacentral:rRNA from 1 species
GAUGAACGCUGGCGGCGUGCCUAAUACAUGCAAGUCGAGCGAACAGACGAGGAGCUUGCUCCUCUGACGUUAGCGGCGGACGGGUGAGUAACACGUGGAUAACCUACCUAUAAGACUGGGAUAACUUCGGGAAACCGGAGCUAAUACCGGAUAAUAUAUUGAACCGCAUGGUUCAAUAGUGAAAUACGGUUUUUCUGUCACUUAUAGAUGGAUCCGCGCCGCAUUAGCUAGUUGGUAAGGUAACGGCUUACCAAGGCAACGAUGCGUAGCCGACCUGAGAGGGUGAUCGGCCACACUGGAACUGAGACACGGUCCAGACUCCUACGGGAGGCAGCAGUAGGGAAUCUUCCGCAAUGGGCGAAAGCCUGACGGAGCAAAGCCGCGUGAGUGAUGAAGGUCUUCGGAUCGUAAAACUCUGUUAUUAGGGAAGAACAAAUGUGUAAGUAACUAUGCACGUCUUGACGGUACCUAAUCAGAAAGCCACGGCUAACUACGUG